ACGAACUCAUUCACUUCAAACAAUCCCAAAAACCCAAAUCAAUAGACCAACUUUUUUCAAAUAUUUUUCUCUAGAACUCCAAGGAAAAAGAAGAAGAAUGUGGAAGCUAGGGUUGAAAAUCAAGACUUCCUCCUCAAAUUCGUGGGAAAAGCUAGAUUUCGAUCAUUGAAAACUCAUUCGAGAUGACAUGAAGAAGGUUUGGAUAUUCUCUAUCAUCCAAGUGGGUAGGUCUUCACUUUUCAAGGGCGAUGUCAAUAUCUUGCCUAUGAAGUUCCUUUGUUUUUCUAAGAAUUUUACGUUCUUUCCACUUUCAUUGUGUACGACUUGUAUAAGUCUAUAUGUGGCUUCUUUACAUUUGAUGUAGGGUUAUGCCCAACUUGUGAUGAUCGUUUAGAUGGUAUGAGAUGAGACAAUCUUUGAGACUAUUCGCUAUUUUAAAGUAUAUGUAUAUUCAAUAAAAGUAGAAGGAUAUGUAACCUUCCUUUUCGAAGAGUAUAUGUAUACUCGAUACGUAUAUAUUAUGUGUAUGUUGAGGUCUAUGUAAACCUCCAAGUAGAUGUAAUAAAAAGUUUAAAUUUUUCUGCA